UACAUAGGGUGCAAGCGUUGUUCGGAAUUAUUGGGCGUAAAGCGCGUGUAGGCGGCUUUGCAAGUCUGGUGUGAAAGCCCUCAGCUCAACUGAGGAAGUGCGCCCGAAACUGCAGAGCUUGAGUACCGGAGAGGAUGGCGGAAUUCCCCAAGUAGAGGUGAAAUUCGUAGAUAUGGGGAGGAACACCGGUGGCGAAGGCGGCCAUCUGGACGGAUACUGACGCUGAGACGCGAAAGCGUGGGUAGCAAACAGG
rnacentral:rRNA from 1 species